rnacentral:rRNA from 1 species
AGGACGAACGCUGGCGGCGUGCUUAACACAUGCAAGUCGAGCGACGCUCCUCCUUCGGGAGGAUGACGGAGCGGCGAACGGGUGAGUAACACGUGGGCAACCUGCCCCUAGCUCUGGGAUAACCCCGGGAAAUCGGGACUAAUACCGGAUAUGAAGUCGGACGGCAUCGUCUGACUUGGAAAGUUUUUCGGCUAGGGAUGGGCCCGCGGCCUAUCAGCUUGUUGGUGGGGUAACGGCCUACCAAGGCGACGACGGGUAGCCGGCCUGAGAGGGCGACCGGCCACACUGGGACUGAGACACGGCCCAGACUCCUACGGGAGGCAGCAGUGGGGAAUAUUGCACAAUGGGCGAAAGCCUGAUGCAGCGACGCCGCGUGAGGGAUGACUGCCUUCGGGUUGUAAACCUCUUUCAGCAGGGACGAAGCGAAAGUGACGGUACCUGCAGAAGAAGCACCGGCCAACUACGUGCCAGCAGCCGC